rnacentral:lncRNA from 1 species
GAGGACUCGAGCCAGACCUCAGGCCCGGGCCAGAGAGGCCGCAGCGUAGGGCUGGGACUGGAGGAGCAGAUACCAGACUAGCAAACCAUAGCCAGAGCCUCUGCUACACACACCACCAGCACCUGAGGUGGGGAUGGCAAACAUAACAGAGAACGGAAUGACAUAGUCUCACUCUGUCAUCCAGGCUAGGGUACAGUGGUGCAAUCUCAGCUCACUGCAACCUCCGCCUACCAGGUUCAAGUGAUU